rnacentral:rRNA from 1 species
GGGGAAUAUUGCACAAUGGGCGCAAGCCUGAUGCAGCAACGCCGCGUGAGGGAUGACGGCCUUCGGGUUGNAAACCUCUUUUAGCAGGGAANAAGCGAAAAGUGACGGUACCUGCAGAAAAAGCACCGGCUAACUACGUGCCAGCAGCCGCGGUAAUACGUAGGGUGCAAGCGUUGUCCGGAAUUAUUGGGCGUAAAGAGCUCGUAGGCGGUCUGUCGCGUCUGCUGUGAAAUUCCCGAGGCUCAACCUCGGGCCUGCAGUGGGUACGGGCAGACUAGAGUGCGGUAGGGGAGAAUGGAACUCCUGGUGUAGCGGUGGAAUGCGCAGAUAUCAGGAAGAACACCGAUGGCGAAGGCAGUUCUCUGGG